AGGAUUCAAUGUUUCACGAACCAAAAUGGCCAGUUUGAUUAGUAAUGGAGAUGUUCGUGUCAAUUGGACAACCGUGACAAAAGCAAUACUACCAUUAAGACUGGAGAUAUCAUAUCAGUUAGUGGAGAAGGCAGACUUAAGGUCCAACGUGAAAUGCUAAGUCAAAGACAGCCCGGUACAAUCUUUUCAAGAAUAUCAUACGGAUUCUUCCCUACUUCGGUCCUUCAUUAUAUGUUUUCGCAAAAGAGAAUCUGUGCAGGUAUGUUAAGGCUAUCCCUUCUUUCUUUUGGCAUGAUCCAUACGAUAUGAACGAAAUGUGCAAAUGCACAAAUUCCAAAAGUGACUCUACUCAUAGAAGUAAUAGAAAUAUCUAUGUUCUUUAAUUUCCAGGUGUCAUAAUAUUUUAUCAUAUGUUCAUGGGUCUCAGAAAAAUACGAAAGUUGAAAGGAUGUUACUUUAUGAUAUUGCUCAAGGGACAAAAUGGUCUUAUGACAUUCUGAAUGAUUUUAUUGAUGUACUUUUCAUGCAUUGCAUCCACGUGCAUUGACUCAUGACCAGAUGGCGUUAUAUACGCGUAUAUAUGUAAAUAUAUGUAUAUGGGAUAUGGAAAAAGGUUAUGGCAUUAUAUACGCACCACCACCUGAUCAGCUGGUACAUGAUGAUGAUGUUGCCUACAGUGGCUGAAAUAUGAUUCAAACGGUGUUAUAUACGCAUAUAUGGGUAUGUAUUCAAAUGGUGUUAUAUACGCAUAUAUAUGUAUGUAUUCAAAUGGCGUUAUAUACGCGUAUAUAUGUAUGUAUAUAUAUAUAUGGGAUAUGGGAAAGGUUAUGGCGUUAUAUACACAACACCACCUAAUCAGUUGGUAUACGAUGAUGAUUUUGCCCACAAUGGCCGAUAUGAUAUGAUAGGAUGCCCUCAGAGGCGGAUGAUGUUAUGAAACAUAUACCUACGCACGACAUGACAUUCACACGCAUAUGCAUGACGCUGAAAGUAAUUUAUGAUUUACAAAGUUAUUCAGACUUACGGGUUGAGUCAUGUACUCCAUAUGUCUUCUAUGUCUACUAUGUAUUUAUUUAUGUGCCUUACAUACUCGGUACAUUAUUCGUACUGACGUCCCUUUUGCCUGGGGAUGCUGCGUUUUAUGCCCGCAGGUCCUGAUAGACAGGUCGAGAGCCCUCCAAGUAGGCCAUCAGCUCAGCGGAAGAUGUUGGUGCGCUCCAUUUGCUUUGGAGUUGCGUAUUUGGUUAGUAUGAUUUAGACGUCUAUUGGUUGGUAUGGCGGGACUCUGUCCCGACCUUUGUGGCACUUAUGUACUCUUAGAGGCUUGUAAACAUAUGUCGUGUACGUGAAAGAUUGUA
rnacentral:lncRNA from 1 species